rnacentral:lncRNA from 1 species
CACGCCUCUGAGCCGCCCCCUCUGCGCCUCACUGAUUUUGCGCUUUGUCACCGCCCUGUGCAUUCCCUGAAGCCUCCAGCACACCAGCUCUGCUUAUUUCUGUCUGAACCUUCCAAGUAGGUUCUGCUAAAAACUUGCUUCACAAAACUCAACAAGAAGUUACCACCUCCUUUCGGAGGUCUCCUGGGACGCCUCAGUUUCCUCUGCUGAACACUUAGGAAAAGGGGUCAGAGAGUUGCUUCCUGUCUUAGCUCCUGUGCUGACUAGAGGCCAGAGGUGGAUCAGAUCAGCUUGCAUGUGAUCCUAAUUAAAGGCCAAGGUCCAGCUGGGCAUCCAUCCCUGUGCUAAAAGAGGAAGAUGCAGGGAGCAGCCGCCAGAAGCCACGUUCUGAACUCACUCGGUGGUCCUUUCCCAGGACCAGGGCCUGGCUUCUGACAACUGUAUUCCCAGCGCCCAAUAAAUGCAGGCUGUGUGAUGGAGACUGGAGAGAGGCCUGCUGAGGAAGAUUGUCUCUAAGGAAGGUGGGGUGGGACCACAAGGUGUGGAAACCACUCCAGAGCAGGAAAUUGGCAGCUUUGGCAUACUGUUCAAGCCUUACCUGGGAUUUGUACCGCUCCCCUGAGAUGCUCAGGGUAGGGCUUGAGUGACUAAUUCCAUGGUCCCAGAGCAGUGGUUCUCAACCUUCCUGAUGCUGGGACCCUUCAAUACAUUUCCUUGUUUUAUGUGGUCUAGGGUGACCCCCAUGAAAGGAUCAUUGAACCCCACAAUGGGAGCUGAAAUGACACACAGGUUGAAAACCAUAGUCCUAGAGUCAGGCACAGGAGGGACUCUGUAAAAAGGUGGGACCAGAUGUCCUGGAGCCAGCUGCCUUCUCCCUCCUGUUAUUUCAGCAUCUGCAUCUGCACAGGCUGCCAUCCCUCCCGCCACAAACUCUGAGUGUUAUUUCCUCCUUCUGGAAAGUUCCUUACCAUCAAGUUCAGACAUCAUUUUCCUAGGGAAAUGUUGAGAAUCUGUGACCCAAUUCCAGCUCUGAUCUUCCUGGUCCCUAAGAGCCUGUUUCUGCCCAGUACCCCUAUGUCCUUUCAAGCCAUCACACUACUAUUUGGGGUGAAAGGUGAACCAGUGGGGGCAGGGGAGAUAGUUCUUGGUGUGACUGCUAGGUCCUUGAGGAGCUGAGACGCAGUGGGCCUCUUGGGUGUGACUGCUAGGCCCUUGAGGAGCUGACACACAGUGGGUCUCCAUGAAUGCAGGUUGAGUCAUUGAACAGUAAGUGAAUCUUGGUAGCCACUGUCACAGGAUUAUGGAAACCCUAGCUGGUUGUCAGUGACAGUAGGGAUAGUCACCAGAGGGACAGGCCAGCGGUGAUAUAUUGUUCUA